rnacentral:lncRNA from 1 species
UUGUGUGUGUAUAUAUAUAUAUAUAUAUAUUUAUAUUUCUUCACUUAGCUUACACUGAUGCAAAAAAACCAACUCAUUUCAGUGCCUUGCAAAAAAAAAUGCACGAGAUAUUAAAUAGAACUGGGUCAAACAAGCAUUGCAGAGGCUGCGGGUCCCCCACGACCCGCCUCGUGAGAAGCAAGAAUUCCACCCGCUGCUUCCACGUGCCACAGAAAUUACUCACAAGUGUGGGUUUUAUGAAGCAUCUCGCAUCCCAGGCUUGUUUUUCCUGGUGCUGUGACUCUAUGAUUCACCUGAUUUAAGUCUCUUGCUAAGUGCUUGACCCGCCCUGAGCAUCCUUUUGGCUGCAUUUUAACUUCCUCUAGGUCAAGGUGCUGGAGUAUGAGUGUGACUUGUCACCUGUAGCAUCCAAAAUAGCCUUUUCUCAGGCUGUAACACCCCAUUUUGGGGGUAUUUUGGGCAUUCAGCAGCACUUUUUGCCUUUGGCAGGCUGAGAAAGACCGACCGGCGCUUCAGCCUUGCCGAGGGGGGGAAUAAAAAAUGACUUUAUUUUGGUGUGUUGCUGCAGGAGGGUUUUGCAGCAUGCAAAGGUGUGGGAAUAUGUACAUGGGGAAGGGGUUUCUUUUAGGAUUAAAGGGUUAAAAUUGCAACCUGGCAGCUUGUUGCUUGAAAACCCCAUAUCUGCCCCUAUCCGGGGGGAUAGAGGUGCUUGGGUGCCCCAGGGAAAGGGGUGGCAGCGGGACUGAGGGGGUUAAAUAAAACCCUGCUCAUUAGCAAAGGGCAUUUUUGGAGAUGCUCUUGCAAGGAUGCCAAGGAGAGGUCCCCUCUGCCUGGUCCCUCUCGGGGUGGCCCCGAGGAGGAGGAGGUGGUGAAGGCCAUGUUUUUUGGGGUACAUCCAGCUGUCCUGCCUCACUGGGGAUGUGUUUGGAGCGGAGAAGGAAAUUUUCAUCCAGUUGCCUAAACCAGAGACAACCCCAAGGAAGCGAUGGGGGUAAACCUCAAGGGGGUGAUGGAGGUGAACCCCAAGGGGGUGAUGGAGGUGAACCCCAAGGGGGUGAUGGAGUGAACCCCAAGGAGCUGAUGGAGGUGAACCCCAAGGAGCUGAUGGAGUGAACCCCAAGGAGCUGAUGGAGUGAACCCCAAGGAGGUGAGGGGAGCGCCGGCGCCCGUGCGCCCCAAGGGCUCUUCACCGACGACGACCGCAAGCAA